rnacentral:sRNA from 1 species
GCCGGGCGUGGUGGCGCACACCUGUUAUCUCAGUGGCUAAGAGGCUGAGGUGGGAGGAUCCCGAGUUCUAAGCCCAGCCCCAGUAAAAGCAAGGUGCUAAGCAACUCAGUGAGACCCUGUCUCUU